AUCUCAUUGGCUCAGUUGGUUAGAGUGUUCGCUUCACAUUAAUAACAGGUCAUAUGAUCUGGGUGAUCGCGAAAGGUCCCCGGUUCGAUCCCGGGAUGGGAUA
rnacentral:tRNA from 3 species